rnacentral:misc_RNA from 1 species
GAUGAAGAACGUAGCGAAAUGCGAUAAGUAAUGUGAAUUGCAGAAUUCAGUGAAUCAUCGAAUCUUUGAACGCACAUUGCGCCCGCCAGUAUUCUGGCGGGCAUGCCUGUUCGAGCGUCAUUACAACCCUCAGGCCCCCGGGCCUGGCGUUGGGGAUCGGCGGAAGCCCCCUGCGGGCACAACGCCGUCCCCCAAAUACAGUGGCGGUCCCGCCGCAGCUUCCAUUGCGUAGUAGCUAACACCUCGCAACUGGAGAGCGGCGCGGCCACGCCGUAAAACACCCAACUUCUGAAUGUUGACCUCGAAUCAGGUAGGAAUACCCGCUGAACUUAAGCAUAUCAAUAACCGGAGGA